CAUGCAAGUCGAACGGUCUUUCUAUGGAAGCUUGCUUCCACUGAGAAGAUAGUGGGCGAACGGGGUGAGUAACACGUGGGUAACCUGCCCAUAAGAGGGGGGAUAACAUCCGGAAACGGGUGCUAAUACGCAUAGUUUUCUUGAUCGCAUGAUCGGGAAAGGAAAGACGGCCUUUGUGCUGUCGCUUAUGGAUGGACCCGCGGCGUAUUAGUUAGUUGGUGAGGUAACGGCUCACCAAGACGAUGAUACGUAGCCGACCUGAGAGGGUGAUCGGCCACAUUGGGACUGAGACACGGCCCAAACUCCUACGGGAGGCAGCAGUAGGGAAUCUUCCGCAAUGGACGAAAGUCUGACGGAGCAACGCCGCGUGAGUGAAAGAAGGUUUUCGGAUCGUAAAACUCUGUUGUCAGAGAAGAACAAGUUGGAGAGUAACUGCUCCGAGCCUUGACGGUAUCUGACCAGAAAGCCACGGCUAACUACGUGCCAGCCGCCGC
rnacentral:rRNA from 1 species